rnacentral:tRNA from 1 species
UAGCCUAGUGGUUAAGGCUACGGAUCGCCAAUCCGGAGACGGCGGGUUCGAUUCCCCGU